rnacentral:lncRNA from 1 species
AUCUCUUGGAAUUCAAUAAAAAUUACACUGUAUACACAAAAUUGAACGGCUUUGCCCAAUGAAUCUGUGCUAUGAACUAGCAGUGGCACUCAAUCUUUGUUCUUAAAACCCCGAGGUGAUCUUCACUUUUCAUGGGGAUUUAUUGAUUAUACUUGUUAAUUAACCAUGAAGAAUACCAAAAGAUGGAUCAGUGGAUGGUUAUAAAAGUAUAAAACUGUAAUCCCUCGUGGCAUUUUCAUCCACGCAUGCAUGACAGUUCGUAAGCAGACGAACCAUAUUGAUCGUGAGCAACCAUACGCAGUCUGGCUGCAUCCAGCUAGAUACUACUAGAACCCGAAACAUUGUUUUGACAAGUGCUCUAUAUUUCGGUUGCAGGUUUUCACUAAAUAAGAAUGCAGGAAGACAGGCUUUCCUACAAGCUACGACAGUUUUACCUACAAAUGUUUCGUGCUGCAACUAGUAGCUGAUUUCCUAGGAUCCUAUGCCUAAAAUUGGAGUUCAGUUAUCAGAGAUUAGCAAAAUUCAAGCACUUAAAAGCAAAUGGCGUUGAAGUGCGUCUAAAAUGAAGAUUGCGAGUGAUAUGUAAUAG